UACAGAGGGGGCAAGCGUUGUUCGGAAUUACUGGGCGUAAAGGGCGCGUAGGCGGCCUUCUAAGUCGAACGUGAAAUCCCCGGGCUCAACCCGGGAACUGCGUCCGAUACUGGAAGGCUUGAAUCCGGGAGAGGGAUGUGGAAUUCCAGGUGUAGCGGUGAAAUGCGCAGAUAUCAGGAAGAACACCCGUGGCUAAGGCGGCUCUCUAGUACGGUACUGACGCUGAGACGCGAAAGCGUGGGGAGCGAACAGG
rnacentral:rRNA from 1 species